rnacentral:rRNA from 1 species
UACGUAGGGUGCGAGCGUUAAUCGGAAUUACUGGGCGUAAAGCGUGCGCAGGCGGUUCGUUGUGUCGGUGGUGAAAUCCCCGGGCUUAACCUGGGAAUGGCCAUGGAAACUGGCGAACUGGAGUGCGGCAGAGGGGGGUGGAAUUCCGCGUGUAGCAGUGAAAUGCGUAGAGAUGCGGAGGAACACCGAUGGCGAAGGCAGCCCCCUGGGCUAGCACUGACGCUCAGGCACGAAAGCGUGGGGAGCGAACCGG